CUAAGAACUAACAUGGUUACUAAGUGACAAAUGGGCAGGGGCAUAUACAACAAGGACACAGCUGGACAAAGGGAUGAUUCAUGUCUUGGGCAGGACAGAAAGGAGUCACCUCGAAAAGCACUAUUCCUAAUAGUGCCACGUGUUUGGGACCAAGCUUUGAACAUAUGGGUUUUUGGGAGACUCUAAACAAUGCCACAUGGAUAACUGAAACCACGGUGAAUGCUUCAAAUACUACAAGUUUGUGCAGAUUUUCUUCAUUUUAUAAAUACCCACCAUCAGAGAAACUAUAGAAGGCAUGUGGGAAGAAAUAGUAAAAGUAAAAGAACUAAUUGGCGUGUCUCCUGCAUCUGCAAUAUAUGAUUAUCCCGCUCACGAUAUAGCACGUUUUUACCGGUUAUCACCAUGACUUGUAUAAAUAAAUGUCCCAUGAAGAUUUUUAGAAAAAAAUAUUUCGGAUAUAAACAUAUGAAUGCAAACAGUAACUCUGAAAUUGAAAUAAACCUGAUAAUAAAGACCAUCUAUAUUCAAAAUAUUGAUUACUGAUUUGUGGAGGCUUAAUAACAUGACUAUUCAGAGAAAAACAGUAUGUU
rnacentral:lncRNA from 1 species